CACUCACACCUGUCAUGGGCCACUAAUCAUCAAUGUAACAAAACACACACAUUGGCAGAGUCAAGAGGUGUUCCGAAUGAGAUGCUUAAUUAAUUAUUCAGAAAAACCUGAGGUGUUCCAAAUAAUUUUGAUGACCAGUUCAUACAUAGCUGACACAGGUGUUCAAGUAUCCACCAGAGAUGGCCGCCUCUGUGAGCCCCGGAGAUGUUAGGUCUAUUUCCGUGGAGAUAGACAAGGCACUGGAGAUGUUAUGAAUGCCAGCUGCAAGGUCCGAAAUCAACCGUAAUUGUCCUACUAUCAACCUGGGGACUAAAACCAUAAACUGAAGCAGGCUAUGUUAUCCUAUCACAGGACAAAAAGGAACAUUUCUGGCUUGGAGUUGCUUCCCUUUUCAAGAAGGGUCAUGGACGUCAUUUUCAGUCCAAUGACGAACAGACAAGGUCGGUUUGCAGAAGUCAGGUGGCUUAAUAAGGAAAAAUGUGUUCAGGAAUUAUAUAUUAGUAUCGAUGUACCUUAAAAAACCAAAUGGCGAAUAGGCUUUGACGUGUGUGGUGAUGUCAAGAUGUGAAUCUUACAAGGAUAGGUUUGUGGUAUCUAACGUGAUGUUGGAUUACCAUUUAGACGUUCUGGAAUAUGUCAUAGGCACGCGUCUAGCUAUGUGAUUGGUGUUGGGUAAAAAGACCUGACCAAUCACCAGACUGAUACUUGUCCUUUGAAGAUUACAGAGGAGCGACGCCCAACUUCAAAGUCAAUAAGUUUUACCGUUACGCGACCGCAAGUUUCUAUUGUUGUACAUCAAAGGUUCAAACUAGUCUUCUCGUUUCGCCCACAAGGUUGUGCAUGCACACUGAGCCUUCUAUUUUGCUAUGACAUUUUCCAUGGGUUCAGAGAGCAAAGGUGAACGUAACCCUGGAUAUCGAGGCUGCCUGACGUCAAGGUCACCAUUAUCAAAAAUAGAUUUUGUUUCUUUGAUUGACAAGUUGAAAAAAACUUUUCGUCACACAGAGUUCAAACUUUGUGUAUUGGUAGCCCUGGCAUACUUAAUCCUACUGUCAUUACUGUAACUUGUAAAUGGUUGAUUGUACAAAGUCUGCUUUUCAUAAUAUGCAGCGAAUUCGUAACGUGUGCACACAGAUCGAUUGUAAAACAGAUAUUGUACAGAUUUGUGCAAACGUUUCCUGCACUCCUCAAAAACAAAUCCAUGUAUUUUUCUUUCCAGACAAAAUUCCAAGUUAUGUUGUUUGUUGGUUUUGGUUUUUGUUUUUGUUUUUUUUUCGCAGAAAAAGGAUUAUGUUUUUAUCUGUAGAUAAGUAC